rnacentral:tRNA from 1 species
GCGGGUGUAGCUUAAUGGUAAAGCUUCAGCCUUCCAAGCUGGUGACGUGGGUUCGAUUCCCAUCACCCGCUCCA